CGCAAAAUUUAAUCGUCCGCUCAUUCUAUUCGGCUGUGGCACGUUGGCCUACUGCUUGAAAAUUGCCAUUCUUCCAAGGAACAGUGGUAGCCUACAGUACAAGCAAUGGCUGUCUCCGUCUCUCUUAGUCACCGUGAGACAGUGAAAUUCUCACUGCCUUGCUCAAGCUUUAGAUAAUUAAAAUUAGCUCGUGUCACCGCAGUGAGUGACGGUGUAAGUACCUACUUUGCUUUGUAAUUAGUAUAUUGUAAUGUAGCUAUUUUUAUCAAUUACUAGGCUAUGCGUUUUAAUUAGGUAUUGAUUGUAGCUAUAACGCAUUUAACAGCAAAGCAAUAUAUUUUUUCCAAGGUGAGCGUGAGGCUCUUGUGCUGCAUUAAUUUAGUAUAUUUGUUCAUUGUUUACAUUUAAGUGUGUUAAGAUUUAAAGUUUAGGUAGCAAGGUACAAUUAAAUUCUUAGGAGUAGGUAGGUAGGUAUCCUCAUUCCUCAUGAUGUUGUACACUAUCUUUCGUCUGAUGCUGUGAAGACAACCCAUACUCUGAUCAAUUGAGUUGAGAAAUCAUGUGGAGUUAACCCUUCCUAUUGCUAACAUUGUGAAUUUAUCAUACUCGUAGGGCUGAUGCAGUGAUGUUGUUCAUGGAUUGGAACUGAAGGGAGCUUCAGUCAGGACAAAGAUUAUGGCUUCCUCAAGCUCCUUGUCAUGGUCUCUGGGAGACCUUGCAUGACAUACAUUGGAUACGUCAGCACAACAUACCUGCAAAUAUUCAGCAAGACUUUUGGAGUGAACCCGACUAGUGAAUGCCUGUCUGACGUUUUUGGGGAUAGUGCACGGAAUGGAAGUAAGGUGCACUUUUCUUGCUGCUACUGCCCUAGUAAGUUGUGAAAAUCUAAUGUUAGUUUAUAGAGUGAGUAAUUGAAAUGACCUUUUAGUGAUGACAAUUAUUUCGCCCCUAUCUGAACUUCAGUGUUGAUUCUGUGCUCGAUUGGUCUUGCUGAUGCAGAAUUAGAAAGUAAUGUGCAAGGCCCUCGACGAUUAAAUAUUCAUGGCGGUUUUUUUUU